AUUGAACGCUGGCGGCAUGCUUUACACAUGCAAGUCGAACGGCAGCACGGGCUUCGGCCUGGUGGCGAGUGGCGAACGGGUGAGUAAUAUAUCGGAACGUGCCCAAUCGGUGGGGGAUAACGUAGCGAAAGUUACGCUAAUACCGCAUACGAUCUACGGAUGAAAGCGGGGGAUCGCAAGACCUCGCGCGAUUGGAGCGGCCGAUAUCAGAUUAGGUAGUUGGUGGGGUAAAGGCCCACCAAGCCAACGAUCUGUAGCUGGUCUGAGAGGACGACCAGCCACACUGGAACUGAGACACGGUCCAGACUCCUACAGGAGGCAGCAGUGGGGAAUUUUGGACAAUGGGCGCAAGCCUGAUCCAGCAAUGCCGCGUGCAGGAUGAAGGCCUUCGGGUUGUAAACUGCUUUUGUACGGAACGAAAAGGCUCUGGUUAAUACCUGGGGCUCAUGACGGUACCGUAAGAAUAAGCACCGGCUAACUACGUG
rnacentral:rRNA from 1 species